CCACUUCCACUGAUAUAUUAAGAGCAUAUGAUUGCUUCAGAAAGGCAAGUUCUAUGGUUCAUGAGGAGAUUCAGUAUCUUCGUGUGCCCAUGGGUUGCAACAUGAGUUUGAAAUUGUGAGGAAGAGAAUGGAUGCUGAAGCAAAGAAAGCAUAUAAGUUACUUGACCAACUUCCAUAUCUGCACAAGACAUGUCUAAUGAUCUGCAAUUCUACUCAGUUAUGGAUGCCAGCUCCACCUCUGAAAAAAAAGGAAGGUCAAAGCAUUGGCUACUACACCAAACACCAGACUUCAAUACAAUUCAAAGAGCUGCAGCACCGUUGCUAAUAUAGUUUGUGCUGACAUACUGGUAAAGAAAGCAUAUAAAGAGUGGAUGCAUGAUGUAGGAUAUGAUCGUAAGACACUCCAGAGCUUCAAGCAUAAUCUGUCGCAAGUGAUAGAGCAGCAGCUUCAACAAUUAACCAUGCUUCAAAUGGUUCAAUCAAUGCACACAAACAAUUAUUUGCGGAACAUCUAGCCAAACUUCCGCGCGUACUACAAGGUUUUCGCAUGUCCAGUCAAGUCAUCUCAACCUAAGGAUCCAAGACAAGGAAGAAAACCACGAAUCUGCCGACGUUAGUCCUCAGAGAGGCCAUGUUUAGAGCUACUAAUCUACCUUCAGUCUCUAGGAAUAAAGACUUCUAUUAUACUGUAGUAUUAAGUGCCCACCAGGAAAAUAAAUUACUUUGUCGUGCUACUAUGUUCUUUAUCAUACUCUGUUUCUUA